UACGUAGGCAGCGAGCGUUGUUCGGAAUUACUGGGCGUAAAGAGUGUGUAGGCGGUGCUCUAAGUUCGGUGUGAAAUCUCCUGGCUCAACUGGGAGGGUGCGCCGGAAACUGGAGUGCUUGAGCGUGGGAGAGGAAAGCGGAAUUCCCGGUGUAGUGGUGGAAUGCGUAGAGUAUCGGGAGGAACACCAGUGGCGAAGGCGGUUGCCUGGAGCUUUGCUGACGCUGAGGCGCGAAAGCGUGGGGAGCGAGUCCGG
rnacentral:rRNA from 1 species